AACUGCGAGUGAAGCGGGAAAAGCUCAAAUUUAAAAUCUAAUGGUCUUUGGCCAUUCGAGUUGUAAUUUAGAGAAGCGUCUUCCGCGCCAGACCAUGUACAAGUCUCCUGGAACGGAGCGUCGUAGAGGGUGAGAAUCCCGUCUUUGACAUGGACCCUYGGUGCUUCUGUGAUGCGCUCUCAAAGAGUCGAGUUGUUUGGGAAUGCAGCUCAAAAUGGGUGGUGAACUCCAUCUAAGGCUAAAUAUUGGCGAGAGACCGAUAGCGAACAAGUACCGUGAGGGAAAGAUGAAAAGCACUUUGGAAAGAGAGUGAAACAGUACGUGAAAUUGUUGAAAGGGAAACACUUGAAGUCAGUCGCGUCGAUCGAGACUCAGCCUUGCCUUGGCUCGGCGUACUUCUCGACUUGACGGGCCAGCAUCAAUUUCGUCCCUCGGAUAAUGGCAGGGGAAAGGUGGCACCUUCACGGGUGUGUUAUAGUCUCUUGUCGCAUACGAGGGGUGGGAUUGAGGAACUCAGCACGCGCCUCACGGUGUCGGGGCUUCGGCCC
rnacentral:rRNA from 1 species